rnacentral:lncRNA from 1 species
GAGCGCCACUAGCUCACACAUGCAUGCACGUUUAGGAGAACUUUAGAUGCACUUGCCAUUUGUGGGAGCGUAUAUGCCUAAGAGUAGAGUCUGUGGGGUCGUCUGAAGAUGGAGUAGUAUAGUAUGAUUUUACCCUAAGAAUCAAAUCCCAUAUUGGCAAAAACCCAUUCCGAUCUCUUAUUCUUUACCACCUUCCCUCCCCUUUAUCAAUAAUUCAAAAGGCCAUCGAUUCACCCUGGAGAUAUUCCAUAACAAUAAUUCAAAAAGGCCCGAGAUCUCUUAUUCGCGUGCUGCCUGCAUGCUAUGCAAAUAUUUAAUUACUAGUGUCAGAAGUUAGUCGUACUAGAUUACAUUUCCAGAAGGAUUCAGCAUUUCAGAUGAAAACUAGCUAGAUCUCAGAAUUCGGUUUAGAAUGACAAAGAAAUCAAUGUGGGCCUACAAGGGCAUUGAGGUGGGGGGGUGUUCCAUGCUGAUGUGUCGCCACGAGCUCAGGUCCACGUGGCUCGAGCUUGAGG